rnacentral:tRNA from 1 species
CGACGUGUAGCUCAACAGCGAGAGCACUGGGCUUCUAACCCGGAGGGAGCAGGGGCAGCACCUGCCGCGUCGG